UACGAAGGGGGCUAGCGUUGCUCGGAAUCACUGGGCGUAAAGGGUGCGUAGGCGGUGGAGUAAGUCGGAUGUGAAAUACCUUAGCUCAACUAAGGAACUGCACUCGAUACUACUUUGCUAGAGUAAGACAGAGGUGAGUGGAACUGAGGGUGGAGCGGUGAAAUGCGUUGAUAUCCUCAGGAACACCGGUGGCGAAGGCGACUCACUGGGUCUUUACUGACGCUGAUGCACGAAAGCUAGGGUAGCAAACGGG
rnacentral:rRNA from 1 species